UGGGGAAUAUUGCACAAUGGGGGAAACCCUGAUGCAGCGACGCCGCGUGAACGAAGAAGGUAUUCGUAUCGUAAAGUUCUGUCCUAUGGGAAGAUAAUGACAGUACCAUAGAAGAAAGCUCCGGCUAAAUACGUGCCAGCAGCCGCGGUAAUACGUAUGGAGCGAGCGUUGCCCGGAAUUAUUGGGCGUAAAGGGUACGCAGGCGGUUUAAUAAGUCGAAUGUUAAAGAUCGGGGCUAAACCCCGCAAAGCAUUGGAAACUGAUAAACUUGAGGAGUGGAGAGGAAAGUGGAAUUCCUAGUGUAGUGGUGAAAUACGUAGAUAUUAGGAGGAAUACCAGUAGCGAAGGCGACUUUCUGGACACAAACUGACGCUGAGGUACGAAAGCGUGGGGAGCAAACAGG
rnacentral:rRNA from 1 species